CCUAAUUACAUUAAAACUCCCACCCCCACCAUACCCCUACCCCGCCGCCGACACUCCACCCCACCACACCCCUAUCCCGCCGCCGACGCUCCAUCCCCACCACACCCCUCCCCGCCACUGACGCCCCAUCCCCACCACUGCUUGUCCUCCGUCGCCGCCGUUGCUGUCCGCCGCCAGCGAAGGACAAGAACAUUACAAUAGAUUAAGGCCACUGAGCUACCGAGGAGCAGAUGUUUUUGUCCUAGCAUUCUUCUUGGUUAGUCGUGCGAGCUAUAAGAACAUACUUAAAAAGUGGAUUCCUGAGCUUCAGCAUUAUGCUCCUGCAAUUCCGGUGGUAUUAGCUGGCACAAAACUUGG